GGUUUGAUGGUAUUUUGACAAGCAGUAUGAAAGUCCAUCUGUUCAUCUUUCGAGGAGGUUGCACAACUGGGAUGCUAGAUGCCAACCUCCUGCUUUUGUUGCGUAUUGUGUGAUUGUUUAUCAGCCAUCCAUAGUGGGGAAAUACGUGUUUUGUAUUUUGAGCUCUCUCUGGUUUUAAUUAAAGUAUCAUUAGAUUAAUAUUAUCACAUAAUCAUGUAAUACUACAAUAUUUUUUUAUGUAAUCAAACACCUCAGAGUUCCAGUUGGUAAAACUUGUAGAUAAUGAAGUGUUGGUGGAAAAAACACUUAAGUUUGUAGGAUUUAAUUUUUAGGCAGGUUAAAGAAGCAUCUUAACUUGUACAGACUUUGCUUGGACAAUAAAAGUACUGGUAAUCAGUGUUAACAGUGCCAGUGCUCUUGCUUUGUACUUGUCGUCAUAAUGGUUUGGAUUUGAAGUAAAAAGGCUUUCAUAACUUCUUCUGUUAAUUGUUUGAUUUGGGUAGAAGAGGUGUUUAAAGAGCAGAGGUAGUUUAGAGGUGACUCCUAAAUUUCAGUGAUGAAACAAAAGACUUGUGAUACCUUAGUUGUUUGGAAACAGAAUUCCGUUUGCUAAUUUUGCUUUAAAACCUCCAUCAGUCAAAGGUUUGACUUCUGUACCUGCAGUUACAUGUCUGUAGAAAACAUGGGUCUGUGUUACAAUGACAGACUCAAGGGGUUUUUAAUCCUGUAAAAUAUUCCCACCCGGAUGGUUGUUAGCUAACAACUAGGCUGUACUUCCUCGUUUUCAGCAUAUUUUAUGUUGCACUUUCAUCUUGUAAAUUAUCAUAUACCAUACAUCUGAAGUUCUUUUGUGCUUAGUCAUUACCUUUGUCAGAUCACAACACUUCCAUACAAUCCAUUUAUCCUGGCCAACUGUAUUUCUGAAUCUGGUUUUUGAUUUAUUAGUAUUUUUUUUUAACACAUUUACCUUAUGGAAGAGUUAAUAUGUAAUCCCCCUUAUCCCACUUCCCCCUUUUUUGUCUUAACUGAAUUUAUAAACUUCCUUAAGUCUUCUUGUGGUACUAAAUGUGAUAAGAUAGGAAAGGGUCAUAGAAAUCUAAUUUUUUUCAUGAACUGUACAUAUGCUGACAUAGUAGUUAUUAGUGGAAGGCGGUGCUUUUACACACAGAGUGGGUGAAUUAGCAGUUCCAUAGUCUUAUUUGUUUUAUUUCCUAGUGCUUUUUCAAUAAAUAUGCAGAAUUUGCACUUCUUCAGAGAGCUUCCAGAAUUUUAUUUACUUGACUCUGGUUAAAACAAAAGUAGGAGAGAAAUACUCAUUAUCAAGAUGUUGGUAUUGUCAUCAGGGAAUUGCCUUGUACUUUACCAUUUUGCUUCACUGGCACAAAUUCUGCCUUGCUUGUUUACAGUGUUUCUGUAUCGCUGCAGCUGUGGCAGUACUUUGAAUCAGGAGGGAAUUCACACUAAGAUUGUAUGGCAGGAUUUUCAAGAGUCCUAAGUGGCUGGUGGCAGGCCUAAGCUACAAACUUGUGCGUUGCUCAGGAGAAUAAUAAGGUGUGAUUUGUGCUAGAGACAGCUGUGCUGUUUAAAAGGUGCUAAAAGAUGCCUUUAUACAAGUGAAUGUGCACUUUUACCAGUAUACAGCCUUUUCCUUCAGGAGUCUGAAAUAAAAAUGUACUGUCAAAAGGAUAAUUUUGCUGGAAUAAAUUAUGUUUCCCCAUAAGAAGCACCAUGCUAGAGUAGCAUCCUAGCAUAGAUGUACCAGCAAAAGCCGUUAAGGGUAAACCUAGCUCAUUCUCAGGCACAGUGCAGGCUUUUCAAAGACCAGCUAUCAUUAAUAGUGGACAGGUCUGCCUGAUAAGGUUAAUGGGCCAGGAGUUGGCACUGGGGUCAGUAGGAGAGGAUGUGGUGAAACAGGUGCUUUUCUAAAUACUGAAAUUGUGGCUUAUGAGUUUAUUUAUAUAACUUUUCAUUACUCAACCCACAGUUUCCAUCAGUGGUAUAUAAAAGGAAAGAUACCUUGAAGUCUUCUGUGUUAGUAGAGAUCUUUGGAACUACCUCCAGAAAUUAAUAUGGAAUCCUAGUAACUCCCAUUACUGUCAGAUGCAGUUAAGGUUUGGAGCUCAGUUUUUAGUUCAGUGGAUUUGAACUCCCUCCCCCGCCC